GUGGGGAAUAUUGGACAAUGGGCGAAAGCCUGAUCCAGCCAUGCCGCGUGUGUGAAGAAGGUCUUCGGAUUGUAAAGCACUUUAAGUUGGGAGGAAGGGCAGUAAGUUAAUACCUUGCUGUUUUGACGUUACCGACAGAAUAAGCACCGGCUAACUUCGUGCCAGCAGCCGCGGUAAUACGAAGGGUGCAAGCGUUAAUCGGAAUUACUGGGCGUAAAGCGCGCGUAGGUGGUUUUGUAAGUUGGAGGUGAAAUCCCCGGGCUCAACCUGGGAACUGCCUCCAAAACUGAAUGACUAGAGUACGGUAGAGGGUAGUGGAAUUUCCUGUGUAGCGGUGAAAUGCGUAGAUAUAGGAAGGAACACCAGUGGCGAAGGCGACUACCUGGACUGAUACUGACACUGAGGUGCGAAAGCGUGGGGAGCAAACAGGAUUAGAUACCCUUGUAGUCC
rnacentral:rRNA from 1 species